rnacentral:rRNA from 1 species
AUGAACGCUAGCGGCAGGCUUAAUACAUGCAAGUUGAGGGGCAGCAUGAUAUACGCGAGUAUAUUGAUGGCGACCGGCGGACGGGUGAGUAAUAGGUAGGAGACCUACCUCAUACAGGGGGAUAGCAUAGAGAAAUCUGUGGUAAUACCCCAUGAGGUUAUAUGAAUAGAGGCAUAUAAUCAAAGCAUAAGUGAUUAUGCGGUAUGAGAGGGGCCUACUGACCAUUAGCUAGUUGGUGAGGUAAGGGCUCACCAAGGCGAAGAUGGUUAGGGGUUUUGAGAGAGAGACCCCCCCACAUUGGAACUGAGAGACGGUCCAGACUCCUACGGGAGGCAGCAGUAGGGAAUAUUGGGCAAUGGGCGAAAGCCUGACCCAGCCAUGCCGCGUGAAGGAAGACGGCCUUAUGGGUUGUAAACUUCUUUACUACGCGAAUAGAGGUUAGUACGAGAUACUAAUAGGAAGGUAGUGUAGUAAAAAGCACCGGCUAACUCCGUG